UUGGAGGGCAAGUCUGGUGCCAGCAGCCGCGGUAAUUCCAGCUCCAAUAGCGUAUAUUAAAGUUGUUGUGGUUAAAAAGCUCGUAGUUGAACCUUGGGCCUGGCUGGCCGGUCCGCCUCACCGCGUGUACUGGUCCGGCCGGGCCUUUCCCUCUGUGGAACCCCAUGCCCUUCACUGGGUGUGGCGGGGAAACAGGACUUUUACUGUGAAAAAAUUAGAGUGCUCAGGCAGGCCUAUGCUCGAAUACAUUAGCAUGGAAUAAUAGAAUAGGA
rnacentral:rRNA from 1 species